rnacentral:lncRNA from 1 species
UUUUUUUUUUUGACAAAUGCAAGAAGAUUUCAUUAACUUGAAUAUAAUACAAUCGGGACAAAGCCCCAACUGUCGAUACAACCAGGUGGUAAAACAAAUAGCAUGCUAAAAACAAUUAGAUGAUUUGUUUCCUGAUCGUUAAACAGAUAGAAUUAAAUAAUUCUUGAAGCUAAGAACGAAAUCAAAGACAUUCCAAGCGAUCCAAAUUGCACUAAAAUCUCUGUAAACAGUAACAUCGCAAUUGACCAUAUCACAUAAAAACUAUUGAUAGCCCAAUGUUCAGAAACACCAAUCGCAUAAAUGGAGAUUGGAGAAGUGGCACCACAGCUAUCUACAUGCCGGAUACCA